rnacentral:rRNA from 1 species
AACGAACUUCGGGUUCGUGGCGUACGGGUGAGUAACGCGUAGAAUCUGCCCUCAGUGAGUGGGGACAACAGCUGGAAACGUGCUGCUAAUACCCCAUAUGCCGCGAGGUGACAUGAAUUUCGCCUGAGUGAUGAGCUCGCGUCUGAUUAGCUAGUUGGUGUAUGUAAUGGCUCACCAAGUGCCAUCGAUCCAGUAGCUGGUCUGAGAGGAUGAUCAGACACACUGGGACUGAGACACGGGCCAGACUCCUACCGGGAGGCAACACUGGGGAAAUUAUCCGCAAAUGGGGCGAACAAGCCUGA